AACGACUCUCGACAACGGAUAUCUCGGCUCUCGCAUCGAUGAAGAACGUAGCGAAAUGCGAUACUUGGUGUGAAUUGCAGAAUCCCGUGAACCAUCGAGUCUUUGAACGCAAGUUGCGCCCGAAGCCACUAGGCCGAGGGCAUGCCUGCCUGGGUGUCACGC
rnacentral:rRNA from 1 species